UGGUGGUUGGCUAGGCAAUGGUGGUUGGCCAGGGAGGAAAUUAGUUUGAGGAUUCGCAACAGGCUGCAAAAUUCCAAACAUCAUCUAUCAGUAUGCAGAUCAUGAUAUCUAAUUAUCAGGACCAUAUGGAUUUGGGAUAGAUCUUACAUGAAACAUUGGUUGUUGUAAAUUGUGCCGCGGAGCAUUUGCAUGAGUCAACCCAAAUGAAUUUGGUACUUGUGAAUGCAUCUGAUGAGGAAAGGGCGGCAUAGAUGGUGGCCUUGACAAUUGGGGCAAAGGUGGUUGCAACUGUUGAUUAUAUAUUGCAGGACUUU
rnacentral:lncRNA from 1 species